GUGCUCGCUUCGGCAGCACAUAUACUAAAAUUGGAAUGAUACAGAGAAGAUUAGCAUGGCCCCUGUGCAAGGAUUGUGUGUAGUUGGACUCAACAGUUUAUU